rnacentral:lncRNA from 1 species
GGUCAGUCCCUGAGAAGAUGAGGUAUCUGUAACAGACUCUUAUGAGGAGCAGUGUUCUUCAUGAGAAGAUCCCGAAACACUGUAUGUAUAUUAAUUCCAGCACUGCCU